rnacentral:piRNA from 1 species
UGAGGCUUUCCAAGAUGAAAGUAGACUUGU